rnacentral:lncRNA from 1 species
AGAAAGGCUAUUCAUAGGCAUAGAGGCUAUUUAGGUUUAUAGGUAGAGAAGUUUAACCAUAGGUUCAUUGUUCACUCUGUCGAUUUUUGGGUUCGCUGAGAUUUACCUGUGAUUUUCGGGUUCAGAUUCUGAACGUUCUUUCCUUUUUCAGCUGUGAUUUCGUGUUCGAUCGUUCGAUUUCGGGUCUGUUCGAUUAGUUUGAGUUCUCGAUCGGGUUGUCUGUUCAUCGUGUUCUUGAUUGGGUUGUUCGUUCAUCGUGUUUUCGGGUUCCGAUUCCGAACGUUCUUUUCUCUUGUAACUGUGAUUUCGUGUUCUGUCGUCCAUUCGAUUACUGUGCGUUUUUGAUUCGGUUGUCUGUUCAUCGUGUUUUCGAUUGGGUUAUCUGUUCAUCGUGUUUUUGGGUUCGCUGAGAUUUAGCUGAGAUUUUCGGGUUCAGAUUCCGAACGAUCUUUCAUUCGAUUAGUUUGAGUUUUCGAUUAGGUUGUUUGUUCAUCGUGUGCUUAGGGUUCAUCGUUCUGUUUUCGUCGUUCAUCGUUCGACAUGUGGACAGGGUAGGGUAUGUCGUUGUAUUUUUCUUGUUCUUCUUUCUCUUCGUCGACGUCAACGGGGGUUUGGGUUCGGUACUUUGACGUGUUUUCUGAUUCUCCUACAUCUAGUUCGCUUGACUUUGAUUCAACCUAUGUACAAAUUAGGAUACUCCCGGGUUAGGGUUAGGGUUCACAUAAGCUACUUCCCAGUUGGGCUGUACAAAUUAGGCCCAAUACGUGAAUUGGCUAAAACCACUGUAACCUGGAAGAGUUUUUUGGUCUUUAAGAUUGGCUUAUCGUCUUCUACUGCAUAUUAGAACUGAUUGACUACCUCUCCUACCCUCCGCAGUAUCUAGAACAAUUUCACAUGACGGAUUCGAGGAUGUCAUCCAUUUGUCGCCGGAAGUACCUAGAUCUGUUUUACUCAGUCACAUGCCUCUGAUCCCCGAAAAAGUCUACUACAGAAGAUCUUGGAUCACUAAGGUAGGUUUUUUACUUGGUACUUUCUACUUUUCUUCUUCGAAUUUAAAUAUAUUUCUGCAAUCCGUCUUCCUGUUCAGUUAGAACAGGUGCGAAUUUGAGAUUUCGGUUUAUGGCUUUUUCCAUGGGGGAGAGAUGCAUCAGCCAGGACAUAAACUCGGGUCAUGAUUGGAUCCUACCAGAGGUUUUCGGGUUAUAGGAUUCUACACAGUCUUUUCGGAUUAUAGGAUUUUCACGUUUCCCACUAAUUUUGUGCAUUUUCUUAUUUUCUAUUUACGAGUUAGGGUUACGAGACUUAUUGGAAACUUAGGUGUUUGCCAAAACACAACGGCGAAGACUAACUAAUAAAGCUUUCGAAGAGAUCAUCCAAGCAUGACCAGAGUCUGUUCUUACUAAGACAGGAAGGAAGCAUUCAAAGAAAAAAGGUGAUUAGAUUUAUUUUUAUUAAUGUCAUUGAUCCGAGAUUCGUCCGAGAUCUGAAUAGGAUUUAAUGUCUACUUAUCUAAAUAGGUUGCAGUUGAACGCAAGAUGUUGGAGGACGUAGACCCAAAAGCACAGUAUUUCAUGUUUGAUUAUUUGAGUUAGUUGU